CCUUAGGAGAAAAAUUUUCAAUAUACGCAGGAAAUUGUUCUUGGACUUUUAAUCUCUGCGCUAAAAUGGCUGCUAAUUUGAGGAAUACGACUCAUCUCAGGAUUAUACAGAUGAGACUGAAUUACAGCUAUAAUUUAAUGCUGAUUUUUAACGGCUUUCUCACAUGCUGACACCAGUGUACUUUAGUUCCUACUCUUGGGGGGAAAUGUCAUGUGAUUUAAGUAUCUAGUACUUUAGUCACUGUGGUGAAAGGCAUGGAUAUUUACAGGAAUGCAAACAUACCUAUGUUACUGAUGCUGGCCUUUUGCUCUCCCAGAUCUGCUCCCAACCUCCACAGGAGCACAACAAAAAACCUGGGCAUUUCCCCUCUGAACAGUGUCACAUAUACUUCCUUGGGAAUUGAUUCUCAUUCCAGCUGCUCAUGUCCUAUCCCAAUUACUCCACAAUGGCGCUAAUGGUUUUCCUGGAUCACAGUCUUGUACAAUUCUACUCACUUGAGGAUAAUUUUUUUUUUACUUUUGAAAAGGAAAGUAACAUAUUAUCAUUAGGUUUUUCAUUACUGUCCCAUGUUAAAGAAUGGGAAAGUAGAUAUUUGUAUCUGAGCUAGUACCAUUUCCUUAGUUUUACCAAGCUGCAGUAUCAUCACAUAAAGGAGUCUAUGAACCAGUACCAACCCUACAGUGUAUAAUUUGUAUCCAUGUUUUGGAAGGUCAUGGAAACUCCAUCUAAACUGAGACAUCACUACAAAACAGUUGAUGCCAAAAGUAGUACAGAAAGCUGCUGUUUUUUCUUCUGCAGGCUCAGGUGGGGAUACUUAACAAUAACCAUUGUACAGGUCCAAGAUGGUUAUGUAUUUUCCUUUACUUAGGAUCUCUAUCAACUCAUCAGCUUGGAGAAUGAGAUGUGAAUUGAAUUUUGACACCAGUGGCACAACAAGUAGAAGGAUCCAUGUGAUUCUGAUACCAAGAUGAGAAUUCACUGUAGCAACUGACUCAGUUGCUUCCCAAGAUCGUAGCUGUGAGGAACACGGACAGGCAACUUCAACAGCUGGGAAAGAGCAGUCUGUUAAAGAACAUGCAGCCUGAGGGCCCACUCACAUCCGUCUACAUGGUAUGGUGCAGCAGCUGGUGUUGUGAAUCAGGCCGUCACCAAUCAGAGAACGGCUACUUCACAACACCAGGGUUGUACCCUACCACAGGCAACAGCCUGGAAAGCAACAUACAGAAAAGGAAGAUUUCCGACACUUACAUUCAAUAUUGUCUUCUAUCCUCAGUUCCAACUUCAGGUCCCUAAAGUUAUCUUGUAGAGCAUUUACCCGGCAGACAUUUAACAUUUCUGUAAAGUAUACUGCAGCUAUAUUAAUUAUUCUAAUGUUACAAAGGAGGUAGCUCUUAUCAAGUGGAUGAAAAUAUUAGGGCAAAGAGCCCCACUACA